AUAACGACUCUCGGCAACGGAUAUCUCGGCUCUCGCAUCGAUGAAGAACGUAGCGAAAUGCGAUACUUGGUGUGAAUUGCAGAAUCCCGUGAACCAUCGAGUCUUUGAACGCAAGUUGCGCCCCAAGCCUUCAGGCCGAGGGCACGUCUGCCUGGG
rnacentral:rRNA from 14 species